UUUAUCGUUGACUAUAUUGGGAGCAUUUAAUGGCACAGUCGUGAUGGAUUAUUUGAGCAGUUGAUUUAUCGAUCACUGUCCUCAGCUAAGCUGUGAAUACUCAAAUAGUUACCAAUCACUUCAAGAAAUCACCUUCCCACGCGGCCUUUCUUUUCGAAAGUUGUAAAUGGUUUUCGUUCCGCGCCACAGGUGACUUUGAGACAAUAAUUGAUUGAAUAUUUGUGGGGAAUUACAUAACAACAACUGAACCUGUGAGGUGUUCUUGUGUUGGAAGUAGUUGUUUGAGGCUGUCAAGGACUUUAUGCAUCCAUCACUGAAGAAGAGGAGGAUUGAGCAGAACAGCAGUGGUGGAGAGGAAGAAGGGAGAAGCAAAGGGCGCCGGACAGAUGGGCUUACCAGAACUCCACCAGGUGCUGCUGGAAACAAUGGCUGGCCCAUACAGGGAUCAAUGCCAGGCCACUGAUGGGCUCUCAUUCCUUCACCAGCAGACGUGAUAAAUGACAUGGCCCAUAUGUUUCAGCAGCCUAGACUCUAGCUGCCAGCCUCCUUUGUCUCCACAUCUAAAGGGAGUUAUGCUGUGAAAAAUCAGUAAAUCCUGAUGUCUAUACAGGUAGCAGUGCUCUGGCCCCUGCCUGCCGUGUCCCAGGUGUCUUGUCAGCUGUCAGAGACGUCCAACAGCAGACAGGAAUGGCAUGACCAGUGGGCCGGGCCGUGUUGGACGGGUCAGCCGUCAGCGUUGCGGACAGACAGGCAUGUGGCAGUGAUCUCCCUGUGACAGGCUGUCAGAGCCACCAGAGAGCCACCAACCAGCACUCGGCCCCUGUCAUCCCACCUGACUACAGACAAGAGUGGAAGCUCUGAAUUCUCAACUUGGCACCCUGCUGCUGCUUCCUCUCCCAUCGCUGUACAGUACAUCCAUUGUGGCUUCCAAAUUCAGUCGGCUUCUUUUUCUGUGAUAUGCAUUGGUGUAUUGGCUGGCUCAGUAAUAGUGUUGCUCCGUAUUAGAAAUUCCAAUUGAAUGUCGUGAAAGGGUGAUUCAAUUCAAGUGCUUUUACUUGCCUCACCUCUUGAAAAUGUAUAGCUUCAGGGCAGACAUAGAGAAGCAGACAAGUCCUACAAGAGGAGGAGAUGCAAACCUGUCAAAUGACAUAAUUGCCGUUUUAUAACAAGAGACAUCUCUACAGCUUGUGAUCCUUUACCCUGAUGGGAGUGUUUGCUUGAGUGUGUGUAUUUACCACAAACCACUCUCUGCUGCCCCUAUUCUCUAUGUCCCCAUCUGACAGGUGACAUUUGGAGCGGUUCAGGAGAUGUAUGUGCCAUUUGUAUCCACGGCAGGGUCAGAGCAUGUUACAUGACCUGCAGGACAGCGAGCUAGAGAAAAGAUACUAAUCUCGCCCAGGGAUCAAUAUGGCACAGAAAGGCACUGAUAAUUGGCCGCUGUCAAUCAAUCAGCGCUGUGUUUGUGCAGCCAUUAAACGUCUCUUUGUGGGAGGAGGAAGUACUGUAGGUAGGCUGAGAUAUAGGAAAACCUUGAAAAAUAAAAGUGUGAAAUUUUCUUCUAACUAUUUAUGAUGUUAAAAUCUACAGUGGAGGAAGAAGUAUUCAGAUCUUUUACUUAAGUAAGUAUUGAAAAUAUCACAUAAGCCGUGGUGGAAAGCAGCUAAGUACAUUUACUCCAGUGCUGUACUCAAGUUCAGUUUUGAGGUAUUUUACUUGAGUAAUUCCAUUUGAUGCUACUCUAUACUUCUACUCUAUUACAUUUGUUUUUAAGCUUUAGUAACUAGUUACUUUGCAGAUUCAUAUUAUUAAAAAAAUCCAAUCAACAAAUAAAUGUUGAUGUAUUAUUAUAGAUAAAACUACCCAGCAGUAUAUAAAGUAGUUAAAAUGAUUCAAACCAGCUGCAACAUCAAAGUGAUGCUUAUACAUUAAUGCAUCAAUAAAUAUAAUCCAGUAAUGAGUACUGCAUAACGAGUGCUUUUGGUACUUUAAGUAUAUUUUGAUGCUAAUACUUUUGUACUUUUACUCAAGUAAAAUUUUGAAUGCAGGACUUUGACUUGUAAGAGUAUUUCUUCACAAUGGUUUUGUUACUUUUUAAAGUAAAAGAUCUGAGUACUUCUUCCACCACUGCACAUAAGUAAACAUAUAGUAUUAUUAGUAAAAUGUACUUAGUAUCAAAAGUACCCAUAAUGCAGAAAACAUACCCCUGUAUUAAACUAUUUUAUAUUAUUGGAUUAUUAUUACUGAUGCAUAAAUGUGUUGGUCAACACGGAGCUAAUUUUAACGAUUCAUAAUCAUAUUUUAUAAGAUGAUAAUAUGCUUUAUCUGUAAAAUAACUAGUAACUUUAGCUGUCAGUUAAAUGUAGUUGAAUAAAAAGUACAAGCACAAGCACACCUCAAAAGUGUACUUAAGUACAGUACUAUGAAUAAAUGAU